rnacentral:lncRNA from 1 species
AAGAAGGGCUCUCUCAGGCUCCUUGAUGAAAAUUGAAGCCCACUGGAAAAGUGAAGAAAAUCUCUGCAAUAAAGGCACCCCAGACCACUGUAGUUGGAAUAAUAAUAAACUCUCUAGUGACUAUGACCUAACAGCAUAUCAUGGCGACAAAAUGGUGAAGUGGAGAAUUGUCACAAGGAUAGCUCUGGAGUCUGGCUCUCUGGUGUCAAGUCUAAG